rnacentral:rRNA from 1 species
CAUUCUUUCUUCUGCACAUAUUGUCGCAAGAGCACGAUAGAGGUGUAUCCCAAGUGCUGGCACGAAGAAGAAGGGCUGUUUCUUAGUCUAAAAAACUGAGAGCCUAAGGGGGGGGUAAGACGGGUGCCAGCCGCCGCGGAAAUACCUGCAGCUCAGGGGGGGGCCCCUUUUUUUGGGCCUAAAACGUCCGUAGCCUGUUUAGUAAAUGCUUGGGUAAAUUGUGUAGCUUACCUAUACAAACCCCGGGUAGACUGCUAAAUUUGGGACCGGGGAGGGCUGGAGGUCCUCCUGGGGUAGGGGGGAAAUUCUGUAAUCCUAGGGGGACCACCAGGGGCGAAGGGUUCUAGCUAAAACGGGCUGACGGUGAGGAACAAACCCCUGGGGGGAAACGGAAUUAAAUACCCGGGAAGUCGGGGGGUAAACCCUGUUUGCUUGAUGUUAGUUGGGCUCCGAGCCAAACUGGUGCGGGGAAGAAAUUGUAAAGCAAGCUGCUUGGAAAGAACGGUCGCAAGAUUGAAACUUAAAGGAAUUGGGGGGAAAAGGGCGAAUCGUUUAACCUGCGGGACUAGUCCUUUUAGGGAGGGUAUUUCUGAGCUUGGGGAACCAUGGCCAUAGCUGUUCCCCGGAG